ACUUGAAAAUGGUGAUUAAAGAAACAUGGAGGCUACAUCCUCCAGCACCUCUUCUGCUCCCAAGAGAAGUAAUGUCUGAAUUUGAGAUCAACGGCUACAAGAUUGAAGCCAAGACACAGAUUCAUGUCAACGUAUGGGCUAUCGGGCGUGAUCCCAAUACCUGGAAAGACCCGGAGGAGUUUCUUCCCGAGAGGUUUCUUGAUAGUAACAUUGAUACAAAAGGACAGAGCUUUGAGUUGUUACCGUUUGGUGGCGGCAGGAGAAUGUGUCCUGCGAUGUACUUGGGGACAGUAAUGGUGGAGUUUGGUAUGGCGAAUAUGUUGUAUCAUUUUGACUGGAAGUUACCAGAAGGCAUGGUUGUCGAAGAUAUCGACGUGGAAGAAGCUCCUGGACUCACUGUGAACAAGAAAAAUGAUCUUCUGCUUGUGCCAGCGAAGUAUUUGGAUAACUGAUCUCUUGAAUGCUUGAUCUAAGUUCAUUAUGCUCGAUUAUACAUAAACAGAACACGCAGUCUGAAGUUCCUCUGUUUCUUUUAGAAGUGUUUAUGGAAGUGUCUAAGAGAAACUUUUCAUUUGUAACGUAACUUGUACGUCAACUGCAAAAUGAGCUUUACGAUCAUCUUCAAAUAUGAAACUAAGAAUUGCGCAUUGGGUUGAAUUGAUUAUGCUUAUCGUGAAAAGAACUAACUCCACAAGUUGUAUUGCGCGGUCGAGGUCCUUCAUUAAAGNNNNNNNNNNNNNNNNNNNNNNNNNNNNNNNNNNNNNNNNNNNNNNNNNNNNNNNNNNNNNNNNNNNNNNNNNNNNNNNNNNNNNNNNNNNNNNNNNNNNNNNNNNNNNNNNNNNNNNNNNNNNNNNNNNNNNNNNNNNNNNNNNNNNNNNNNNNNNNNNNNNNNNNNNNNNNNNNNNNNNNNNNNAAAAAUAAUAAUAAUUUUUGUAAACAAUUGAAAACGAUAUAAAGAUGCAUCAUCCGACAAUACAUAAACCAAGAGCACAAACAAGAAGACAUUUUUUAAAGAUUCUGAGAAAUUAAUAUAUCCUACACAAUUACAUGUUUUCACAUGGAUAGUUAUAAGUUUGCUGAUUUGCUGUAUUAGAUUAAAAAAAAAAGUAGUAAUAAAGUGCUACAUAUAACACAAUCAAUAAAUCAAAGUUUCUCUUGAUCGUUUGGUGGUUAAGUACUAACAAGAUCUACUUAAUCCGGCUAUUUGACUAGCGCAAGCCUAAGAAAUUACUUUGGAUGCAAAUCUGAUUUGUUCUAACUUUUAUAUUCAAAUACAUUUGAAUAGAAUACAUAUAAUGUAACAUAGUAGUUUUUUUGGCUGAAUAAAUUUUAUAUUCAUAUAAAUAAAGAGUGCUACAUAAAAUAUAACACUGGUUUAUUAAAAAUCUUCGCGAAAAGCUGGAUCUAGUUGUAGCUGAUUCAUUGAUCUAGACCCAUCCUUUGUCGCCUCAAAUAAAAUAUAUCGAUCAGUGAUCGUGGACGAUAUUGUGGCCUAGCUAGUGAUGUCAAUCUUGCCUCAUCUUUUGUUUAUGCGUUAGUUGUGCUUCUAUCCUUAGACUAGGUGUAAAGGACAACAUAAGGACACUCAUAAUGACCUCAAUAUCUCGUAUCUCUUCUUAUGGAACAUUCUGUAAAUACUUAACCUAGGAGCUCUCAUUCUCACUUUGUAUAUAUACUCAAUUGUACUCUCUUAUGAACAUAUCGGAAUAUACAUUCUCUACACUAGGGUGAUUGGUUAAACAGAUAUAUAAAUCCAGAUACUCAACAAACUAGCAAGUGUUGUGGUCACUGGCCGAACCGCCUCGAGAGUUUCAUGGAGAGGUACUUGUUUCAAACUGCCAUUUAUACUAUUUGGAAAGAGCAGAAUGGACGACGUCAUGGUGAGUCUCCUAAUACCGCAGCUCGGCUCAUAGACUCAAUUGGCAAACAAAUACGGAAUCGCUUUUCCUCCAUUAAGCUUAUGGGAGAUAGGCGAUAUGAUGGUGGAUUACAACUUUGGUUGCUUCAAGAGUUUUUUCUUAAUUCCUUCUGUUUUUCUAGUUUUCAAAAAUUUUUAAAUCUCCCGAUGCACUAGUUGUACAAACGCUAUUUUUUCUUGAAUAUAAUUUAACAUUAUUUUCAAAAAAAAAAAAAGAGAUACGUAGGUUAGUUUAAAUUUGAGAGUUCUAUAGUUAAUCUGGGACACUAGUUACAUGAUAAUAUUUUCAUUUUGAAUUACCCAAUACUAGUGAAGAAGUUUUUGUUGGUAAUAAUAGAAAAUGUCACAAUUUUUUUGCAUAGAUUUUAAGGAUUUGACUUGAAUAUUUAAUUAUCUUUGAUGAUCUACAUACAGUAGUAUGUUUUUCUGUAAUUAUUUCACGAUCUACCUCUUGGUUUUAAAAUUAUUUCUAAUAAAUUUUCGACGAAAUUGUACAUUAGUGACAGUGUUAUAUCAACUUUUACUAAAUAAUGCAAUAAUACAGUAAAAUCCCAAUUCCAUCAGAAUUUUUUACUUUUGAGACGGCUCGGUUAUAUAUAUGAACACGUAUAUGUGCAUAAUUAUGUGAUGUGACCUUGUGUUCCAAAGUCAGCGAAUUUUAUUACGACAAAUGUGAACCAUGCAUCAAAGAUAUUUUCAAAGUCUCAUCAUUGACAAAUAAAACAAAAUACGAACGCUAUAGACGACGUAAAACAAUGGACCGUAUAUAUACGUUAUUUAUUUGCAAAGUCGAGUCGUGAAAAUGUCGAAAACUUCAACAAAAGUGUAUACGUUGUUUAUUUAUUUUUGUCAAACAAUAGAUCAUAUAGUUAGUUAAUGUUUACGUUUUUUUUUUUGUUUUUUUUUUGAAAACCAGUUGAUGUAUACGUUUGUAUCAUAAUAACAUGACUUUUUUUUGUCAAACGACAUAUCAUAGUUGAUGUAUACAUUUAUAUGUAGUAUAAAAAAACAUUUUACCUAUUCUACAAAACUAGUCUUGGGUCACUCUAGUUGUUACAAGAAACAAAAAAAAGUUUACUUUUAUUUUGGGUUCAAAUUGUCAAAGUCAAUUUCAAAUCAAUUAAUAAAUUAGUGAGGUGCGUAUUACUUGAAGUUGUAUAUAUAUUUCGGUGUCAAUCAAUUAUAUUUCGCUUUCUAUAAUCACUAAAACAAAAUAAUACACAAAUGGCUAACAUUUGGACUCUAUCACUUCUCUUCCUAAUCAUCUCUCUUCUUCUCACCGCCUUGAAACGCACAAAUAAGGGGAAACACCGACACAUCCCAUCUCCUCCUGGUUUACCUAUAAUCGGAAACUUACAUCAGCUCGGAGAAUUACCACAUCAGUCUUUAUGGAAACUCUCAAAGAAGUAUGGUCCUGUCAUGCAUUUGAAGCUUGGAAAUGUCCCAGCAGUCAUACUUUCUUCCACCGAGACAGCAAAACAAGCUCUAAGAGACCAUGACAUCCAUUGUUGUAGCCGUCCUUCUUUAGCAGGUACUAUACAAAUCAGUUCACAUUUAUACUAAAGUCUUGAACUGUUGCUUCAUUCAUAUCUUACUCCUUUAGGGGGAAGACAACUCUCUUACAACCACCGGGACAUAUCUUUCUCUCCUUAUAAUGAUUACUGGAAAGAACUAAGGAAGCUUUGUACUCAAGAAAUCUUUAGUGCUAAAACUAUUCACAAAACUCAACCCAUCAAAGACUUGGAGGUCAAGAAACUAAUCGAUUCAAUCGCGGAAUCAGCUUCUCAUAAGACUCCGGUAAACCUGAACAAGAAGUUUCUUGCUUUAAAUGUAAGUAUAGUAUGCAAGUCAGCCUUUGGUGUGAACUUUGAGGGAACUGUGCUUAGCAAUGAUAGGUUCAAGGAGUUAAUGCGUGAAACAUUCGAGAUGUUGGGAAGUUUCUCUGCCUCAGAUUUUGUUCCCUAUAUCGGUUGGAUCAUCGACCGGUUAACUGGUUUGCAAGGAAGGAGAGCAAAAAACGCGCAAGAUCUUGAUGCGUUCUAUGAACAAAUUAUUGAUCUGCAUAAAGAGAAAAAGGAAGUAGGUAGUGAAGAUUUUGUGGACUCACUCUUGAGAUUGGAGAAAGAAGAAACUGUUGUUGGAAAUGACAAGUUCACUAGAAAUAAUGUUAAAGCAAUCUUGAUGGUAAAUAAUAACACAUUCAAAAUCCAGUGGUAAGAUAUUUUGUCACAAUACCUAACUUAGUACUUGUAACAGGACAUUCUUUUAGCGGGCAUUGAAACUUCUGCAAUAAGCAUGAUAUGGGCGAUGACAGAACUUGCGAGGAACCCACAAGUGAUGAGGAAAGUUCAAUCUGAAAUCCGAAACAAAUGUGGGAAGAGAGAACUAAUCAGAUACGAAGACAUAGAUCAACUCCAUUACUUGAAAAUGGUGAUUAAAGAAUCAUGGAGACUACAUCCUCCAGCACCUCUUCUGCUUCCAAGAGAAGUAAUAUCUGAAUUCGAGAUCGAUGGCUACAAGAUUCAACCAAAGACACAGAUUCAUGUCAAUGUAUGGGCUAUAGGGCGUGAUCCUGAUACCUGGAAAGACCCGGAUGAGUUCUUUCCCGAGAGGUUUAUGGAUAGUAACAUUGAUACAAAAGGACAGAGCUUUGAGCUAUUACCAUUUGGGAGCGGUCGGAGAAUUUGUCCAGCAGUUUACAUGGGGACAACAAUGGUGGAGUUUGGCUUGGCAAAUCUUUUGUAUCAUUUUGAC
rnacentral:lncRNA from 1 species